rnacentral:rRNA from 1 species
UACAGAGGUCUCAAGCGUUGUUCGGAUUCAUUGGGCGUAAAGGGUGCGUAGGCGGCGCGGUAAGUCGGGUGUGAAAUCUCGGAGCUUAACUUCGAAACUGCAUUCGAUACUGCCGUGCUUGAGGACUGGAGAGGAGACUGGAAUUUACGGUGUAGCGGUGAAAUGCGUAGAUAUCGUAAGGAAGACCAGUGGCGGAGGCGGGUCUCUGGACAGUUCCUGACGCUGAAGCACGAAGGUCAGGGGAGCAAACGGG